CAGCAGAGAGAAACGGCGAUAGAGAUACAGGGCCCUUUUGGCUCUAGGGUUCCCGGAGAAACGAAGAAAGAAACUGAGGUCUGAUCACCGACGGAUGAGGUUACCUUCUUUAUAAAACAAUCAUGCAGGGUUUAUUCUUGUUCCACGAAAUACGGCAAUCUCUAAGACUGUGAGAGGAGCCCAGCCGUCUGAUAGAUGAUCCUCCAUUUUUGUACGGCUCUGAUCAUCUUCGCGAAGCCUGGAAGAGAUACACUAUUCUCACCGGGGAGUCGGAGAUGACCACCACGCUAUUCGUCGCAAACCCCUCUCUGUAGCUAGGUAGUUGCCAUGGCUCUCAGAAAUCUCUCGCUUCUCCUCCUCCUCCUCCUCCUCUUUGAAUCAUUUUCUAGGCAUGUUUGUUGUCAGGAAAUGGGGCCUGCGGAGGGGCAGAGCUUCCCGGUGGUGGUUAGCACCUGGCCCUUCGUGGAGGCGGUGAGAGCCGCUUGGAGGUCGGUCAACGAUCGUGGAUCGCCGGCGGUCGAUGCCGUGGUGGAUGGCUGCACUACAUGCGAGGAGCUGCGGUGUGACGGCACAGUUGGACCUGGUGGCAGUCCAGAUGAGAAUGGAGAAACUACAUUAGAUGCUCUAGUUAUGAAUGGGGCAACAAUGGAGGUCGGAGCUGUGGCUGCUAUGAGAUAUGUCAAGGAUGGUAUUAAAGCUGCGAAGUUAGUUAUGGAAUACACACAACAUACUUUGCUUGUUGGAGAGAAGGCCUCAGUAUUUGCUAUUUCAAUGGGUCUUCCAGGACCUACCAACCUCAGUUCACCAGAGUCCAUUGAAAAAUGGAUUAAGUGGAAAGAGAACAGCUGCCAGCCUAACUUCCGGAAAAAUGUCAUUCCUGCAUAUGACUGUGGUCCUUAUCAUUUUAGUAAUUCUGCAUCAACGGCACUUGAGAACACUUGUAGACUUUCCAAGAAUGGGAUUGGUGAGGGGAACUGGUCUGAUGGAAACAAUCUCUCGAGUCUUGAGUCAAAUUCCAAGUUGAUAAAUCUCCAUAACCACGACACAAUCUCCAUGGCUGUAAUUGAUAAAAUGGGACAUAUAGCAGUUGGGACAUCGACCAAUGGUGCUACAUUUAAAAUCCCUGGCAGUUCAUAUAUCUCUUGUUUGGUUGGGCCGAGGCCUGAGGCUAUAUAUUUUGCAGUUGCAGUUAUUGCUCUGUUCAACUUAUGUGGACACGUACAUUCGAUAAUUGAUAUGUGCUCUCCGAGGGGCAAUAUUUGCAAAAUAAAGCUUUUUUCAAGCAUCAACUUGCAGUUCAGCUUUUUAAUGUUUUGAUUUUGUCAUAUCUUGAUCCAGAACCCUUCCAAGGAAUACAUGAGUAUCAACUGGAAAGCCAGAGAAUAGAUCCAUUUUAGAAAUUACAAUAUGUUCUGACAUGAAUAAUCAUCACUAAUCCACUCCUAUCUGCUGAAUGCUAUGUUAUACUCUGAACAUAUGAGUAACGAGGCUCUUGAUUCCAGGGUGGGUGAUGGCCCUAUUGCAGGAUCAUCAGCAUAUGCUGAUGAUGAAGUUGGUGCUUGUGGUGCAACUGGAGAUGGUGAUAUCAUGAUGCGCUUCCUUCCAUGCUAUCAAGUUGUGGAGAGCAUGCGGCGUGGAAUGGAACCUAAGGAUGCUGCAGCUGAUGCAAUAGCAAGAAUUGCCCGUAAAUAUCCACAUUUUGUUGGAGCUGUUUUCGCCCUGAACAAGAUUGGCACACAUGCAGGAGCUUGUCAUGGAUGGACAUUUCAGUACUCGGUGAGAAAUCCCAGCAUGGAUGAUGUGGAAAUAUUCACAGUGGUGCCUUAGAGAACAGCAGAAAAGGCCAACGAUAAUGAACUUGGAAGUCAUUGUGGUACCUUUUUCCCUUGUACUGGGAAAUAGCUAAUGAGCUUGCCACUGCUUUCUGAUUAUUAUGAGAAAAAAUUGUCUAUGUCAGAUUCAGUUGCAGGCUCAUCAUCCACAGGAGCAUGAACAAUACUGAGCCUUAUCCCGUUUUUACAGGGAUGGCAAGAUUAUUAUGUAUGUUGUGGAAUGGUGCUUCUAAUGAUCACUAGACAAAAUCAUAUUCAUUUCUUAUUAAACUGAUGUUGAUUUCA